rnacentral:rRNA from 1 species
AAUGAACGCUGGCGGCAUGCCUUACACAUGCAAGUCGAACGGCAGCACGGGGGCAACCCUGGUGGCGAGUGGCGAACGGGUGAGUAAAGCAUCGGAACGUGCCCUGGAGUGGGGGAUAACGUAGCGAAAGUUACGCUAAUACCGCAUAUUCUGUGAGCAGGAAAGCAGGGGAUCGCAAGACCUUGCGCUCUGGGAGCGGCCGAUGUCGGAUUAGCUAGUUGGUGGGGUAAAGGCCUACCAAGGCGACGAUCCGUAGCGGGUCUGAGAGGAUGAUCAGCCACACUGGGACUGAGACACGGCCCAGACUCCUACGGAGGCAGCAGUAGGGAAUCUUGCGCAAUGGGCGAAAGCCUGACGCAGCCAUGCCGCGUGAAUGAUGAAGGUCUUAGGAUUGUAAAAUUCUUUCACCGGGGAAGAUAAUGACGGUACCCGGAGAAGAAAGCCCCGGCCUAACUUCGUGCCAGCAGCCGCGGU